GAUGAACGCUGACAGAAUGCUUAACACAUGCAAGUCUUUGGCGAAGCUGUGCUUUCACAGCCUAGCUAAGGCGGACGGGUGAGUAACGCGUAAUGAACUUGCCCUGCAGUCAGGGAUAACAGACUGAAACGACUGAUAAUACCUGGUGAAGUCAGGCGGACUCAUUUCCAGCCUGAUGAAAAGAGGUGCUGCAUGGUGGCCUCGCGUCCUAUUAGCUUGUUGGUGGGGUAGCGGCCUACCAAGGCGGUAAUAGGUAGCCGGCCUGAGAGGGUGGCCGGCCACAUUGGGACUGAGAUACGGCCCAGACUCCUACGGGAGGCAGCAGUGUGGAAUAUUGCACAAUGGGCGGAAACCUGAUGCAGCAACGCCGCGUGCGGGAUGACGGCCUUCGGGUUGUAAACCGCGUUCGCCUGUGACGAAGCGUGAAUGACGGUAAUGGGUAAAGAAGCACCGGCUAACUACGUG
rnacentral:rRNA from 1 species